UGGGGUUAAGGAAUGGGGAAUAGGGUGGGAGGAACUACAUCAGCAUCCUGUUGUGGGUGCCAAACCAUUGCCUGAUGAUGUUGGAGUGAUGGAAACUGACAUUGUCCAAAACUAUCACAUACUUUGGCAAGUCAUCUCCAAUCUGACCCCUCUCUUGUUCAGGGAUGAGAUCCCUGUAGAGAGUGUCUAAAAAGGUGACAAGAUGCUCUGUAUUGUAUGGACCAAUAAUGGGAAUAUGCGUUAGCACACCAUUCUCAGAGAUAGCAGCACCCAUGGUUAUGUUCCCGCCCCGUUGGCCUGGCACAUCAACUGUAGCUCUGUGGCCGAUGAUAUUUCGACUAUGCCUUCUGCGUUUGGGUAGGUUGAAGCCAGCCUUAUCCAUGUAGAUGAAGUUGUGCGGUGGUUCACUUGCUUCCAGUUCCAUCAUACGCUAUAUAAUAAUAAUAAUAAUAAUAAUAAUAAUAAUAAUAAUAAAUUUUAUUUGAAAGCGCCCUUCAAAGCACCCAGGGUCACUGUACAAUAUUAAAAGCAAGACAUUCAUAAUAAAACAAUAAAUAAAACAAUAAGCAAUUUAAACAGAUAAAAACCGACACAGGGAAUGGAUAAAACAGUUACAGGGAGUAUGCGGAGCGAAACAGGUGGGUUUUGAGUAGUGUUUUGAAAGAGAGAAAGGAGUCAGUGUUUCUGAGAUCGGGUGGUAGUGAGUUCCAGAGCUGGGGGGCAGAGCGACUGAAGGCUCUGCCCCCCAUUGUAUUGAGGCGGGCAGGGGGGACAGAGAGGUGGAUGGAGGAGGAGGACCGGAGGGAGCAAGUGGGGGUGAUGACGUGCAGGAGGUCGGACAGGUAGGGGGGGCAAGGUUAUGGAUGGCCAUGUAUGCGAACAGGAGGAGUUUGUAGAUGAUCCGGUCUUUGAUGGGGAGCCAGUGGAGGUGCUGGAGGACGGGGGUGAUGUGGUGAUGUGUGGGGGUCUUUGUAAUGAUGCGGGCAGCUGAGUUUUGGACCAGUUGGAGUUUAUGGAGAGAUUUCUGGGGGAAGCCGAAAAGGAGGGAGUUGCAAUAGUCCAGGCGGGAGGUGACAAGGCUGUGAACAAGGACGGCGGUGGAGUGGGGAGUGAGGGAGGGGCGGAGUCUGUUGAUGUUGCGGAGGUGGAAGUAAGCGGUGCGAGUAAUGAUGUUGAUGUGGGAAUGAAAGGAGAGUGAACUGUCGAGGAUGACACCCAGACUCUUUAUCUGGGGGGAGGGGGAAACUGGGGAGCUGUCAAUGGUGAGGGAGAAACUUUGGAUUUUGGAGAGGGUGGAUUUUGUGCCAAGGAGGAGGAUUUCAGUUUUAUUGCAGUUUAGUUUGAGAAAGUUUGAGGUAAACCAGAUUUUUAAUUCAGUGAGACAGGAGGUGAGGGAGGGGGGUGGUAGUGAGGACGUGGGUUUGCAGGAGAGGUAGAGCUGGGUGUCAUCCGCGUAGCAGUGGAAAUGGAUGUCGAAUUUGCGGAGGAUGUGGCCGAGGGGGAGGAGGUAGAUGAUGAAGAGAAGGGGCCCCAGGACAGAUCCCUGGGGCACACCUGAGGUGACUGGGGAGGGUUUAGAUGCGAAUGAUUUAAGCUGUACGAACUGAGUGCGGCCUGUGAGGUAUGAAUGAAACCAGCUGAGGGGGGUGUCAGAGAGGCCAAUGGAGGAGAGUCUGCUGAGGAGGAUGGGGUGAGAAAUGGUGUCAAAGGCUGCACUCAGAUCGAGGAGGAUGAGGAUGGAAAUGGAACCGGAGUCAGCUGCGAUGAGGAGGUCGUUUGUUAUAUGGAGUAAUGCAGUUUCUGUACUAUGGCGGGGGCGGAAUCCUGAUUGGAACGGUUUGUAAAGAGAGUUAAGGGAUAGGUGACGAUGGAGUUGAGCGGCGACAGUUUUUUCCAGGAUUUUGGAAAGGAAUGGUAAGUUGGAGAUGGGGCGGAGGUUAUCAUAGUUGUUGGGGUCUGAUCCAGGUUUCUUUGGUAUGGGGGUGACAGCGGCAGUUUUGAAAGCUGAGGGAACUAUUCCAGGCGAAAGAGAGGAGUGGAUGAUAGAGGAUAUGAGGGGGACCAGGGAGGAAGAGCAGGAUUUAACUAAGGUCGAGGGGAGGGGAUUGAGCUGACAUGUGGCGGGUUUUGAUUUGUGGAUGAGGUCUGAGAUAUCGGUGGUAGUGGGGAGAGGAAAACUGGAGAAAAGGUGGCAGGGAAGAGGAGGUUCAGGUCGGGGGAGAGGAGGCUGGUUAUGGUGCAAUUGCUGGUGAAUGUUGUGGAUCUUUUGGUUGAAGACGUCCAUUAUGGAAUUGCAGUUUUCAGAAGAGUACAGGUGGGGGGGUAGAGAGUUUGAUGGCUGGAGGAUUUUGUUAAAGACAGAGAAGAGAGAUUUUGUGUUUCCUUCAUUGGAGAGAAUGAGGCUGGAGUAGUAGUUGGAUUUGGUUUGAGAGAUUAGGUCCUUAUAUUGUGUGAUGUGAGUGGUGUACAUGUCCUUAUGGAUGGUGAGACCGGUGCGUUUGUAGAGUCACUCAAGCUGUCGGUCUUGGGAUUUCUUGGUCCUGAGCUCGGGAGUAAACCAGGGGGCAGAGGCAGAAAAUGACACGGACCAGGUUUUCAGGGGGGCAAGAGAGUUAAGAGUGCUUGUGAGGCAAGUGUUGUAAUAGGAGACCGGUUCAUCAGGGUUUGAGGGAGAGUCCGGGAUCGGAAAACUGUCAAAAGUGGAGCGCAGGGUAUUGAUGUUAAUGUCCUUGAUGUUGCGAAAGGAGAUGAGGCGGGGGGAUUUGAUGGUGGAGAGGCAGAGGACGGUGUUAAAAGUGAGGAGCAAGUGGUCAGAUAGCGGGAAGACAUCUGCAGUGGGCUUGGAUGGGGUGAGACCGGAGCAGCAGACCAAGUCCAGGGUGUGACCUUUGAUGUGGGUGGGGAAAUCGAUGUGGGGUUUAAUUCCAAAACUGUCCAGGCAGGAUGCAAAGUCUCUAGUGAGAGGCAGGUUGGGAUUGUCCAUGUGAAUGUUGAAAUCACCCAGCAGAAUUAAAUUUGGUGAUAGAGUUGAUAGAUCCGUGAGAAGAGUAGAGAGUUCUCCAAUAAAGUCACCAUGAGUCUUGGGGGGGCGGUAAACUGUCGCGAUGAUGGUAGGUGUAGGACCAGGAAGCUUAAAAACAAGGCAUUCAAAUGAGUUGAAUGCGGGAACGGAGAUCGGCAGGACUUUCCACUUCUCGCGGUGAAUUACCGCGAGACCUCCACUGCGGCCAUUGCCACAGGGACGGCUGAUGUAAACAAAGCCGGGAGGAGUGGAAUCAUUGAGAGCAGAGAAGUCAGUGGGUUAUUGCCAGGUUUCAGUUAAAAAGAGAAAGUCGAGCUUACGGUCGAUGAGGAGAUCUUGGACGAGAUGACCUUUGCUCGUGAGUGAACGGAUGUUCAGCAGACCGAAGUUGACAGCGGAGGUGUCAUGUUUGAUAGAAGUAGCGUUAGCCGACCUAGCUAGGCGGGCUAGUGAGCUGUGGUUGACGGCGCGGCCGGAGUUUCUGGAGGGGCGACGAGAGGUAGAUCGUGUAGCAUUGAUGGCGCUGGAGCCACAAUGCUGGAUGUGUCUGCGGGACCCACGGUGGAUGUAGCGCCGGCGAGGUACUCAGGUGAUGUCCGGGUGAUGAUGCAGCUCCGGCGGCGGAGACCUCGGUGCAGUCCGGCAGAUCCGAAAAAGGUCGGCGACAGGGUAUUGGAAUAGUCCAGCCACAGGAUGAUGGUAGAGCGACAGCAGUAUCCAGAUGAGCCCAGACCAGAUGAGAACAUUGUUGGGCCACAUGACGGGGAAGGAACCGGCGAGCUUUUGAAAGCUGGCGUUUUGACAGCCGGUUAGCAUUAGCAGCCGGGGCUUAGCCCGUGCACUUGUGGACAAAAGUGCCGGAGUUAUUUGUGGGAGAGAAACUGUUUUGGCUGUCACAGGCAGGGAAAUGGAUAGUCGGCUUCUCAUGUAGAAUCACGGGCCAUAAAAGCGAUAAAAAAGAAGAUAUACACAACUUUUUCUGCCGGUGAGCAGCGGCAACAUACAUGCCAGCGUCCACCCACCGGA